rnacentral:rRNA from 1 species
AUUGAACGCUGGCGGCAUGCUUUACACAUGCAAGUCGAACGGUAACAGGUCUUCGGAUGCUGACGAGUGGCGAACGGGUGAGUAACACAUCGGAACGUGCCUAGUAGUGGGGGAUAACUACUCGAAAGAGUAGCUAAUACCGCAUGAGAUCUAAGGAUGAAAGCAGGGGACCUUCGGGCCUUGCGCUACUAGAGCGGCUGAUGGCAGAUUAGGUAGUUGGUGGGAUAAAAGCUUACCAAGCCGACGAUCUGUAGCUGGUCUGAGAGGACGACCAGCCACACUGGGACUGAGACACGGCCCAGACUCCUACGGGAGGCAGCAGUGGGGAAUUUUGGACAAUGGGCGAAAGCCUGAUCCAGCAAUGCCGCGUGUAGGAUGAAGGCCCUCGGGUUGUAAACUACUUUUGUACGGAACGAAAAGACUCUUUCUAAUAAAGAGGGUCCAUGACGGUACCGUAAGAAUAAGCACCGGCUAACUACGUGCCAGCAGCCGCGGUAAUACGUAGGGUGCAAGCGUUAAUCGGAAUUACUGGGCGUAAAGCGUGCGCAGG